AAAUAAACAGACGGAAUUAUGGUCAUACUCUGAGUUCAAUUUUACAAUACAGAAUGAAAUCAAUAGACAUCUAGACAAAAUCCAUCUCAGUCUGCAAAAUCCCUCAUACAUCAGAAUAUAAUAACUUGUCUAUAACUGGGACAAGGCCCCCAGUCGGACCCAAAAGUAAAAUGCAAAACAAUACUCUAGCAACAGGUCUUCCGAAAUAAAGAAGGCUCACCAACUGCACACUUCAGUCUAAAGAUUCUACGGUUUGGCGGGACCCCUGGACUGAGCCUCAGACCCUGAAAUAUAAGGGGGCAAUACAAACGUACUGGUAUGUGAAACGACUCAAAUAGCAUGCUUUUAAUAUAAAAUAGAUGAGAGCAUUUCAUAAAAAUAAUGACCAUAAUACGUACGUAAAAAUACAUGGGCAUACUUUAGUAAUCUCCAAAACACUUCUUCUAAGUCAUGACUCACUCUUUGUUAUUCUUCUGAGCUAGUCGGUACACCCUACAAAUCUGAAAUUCCACGGGCUAUGUGGAACCCGCCCUUGACUCGCUGGCCAAGCCUCCAAUCUAAGUAGCCACCAGGAUUAAAGUGGUGAUACCCCCCAUGUGAGCACACCGCAGGAAAUUCCCCCAUGUGAAAUGUCUUAAAAAUGUCAUAUCAUGUAGGAUCAUAUAUCAUAAGUUCCAUAUCGGCAACUACGGUUUCCGGCGAUAAGCCCUUGCGCUCAAAUACCUUCUUCAGGUAACCUACUAGCUCUCUUAAGCCCAACUUUUAGUUCUUUAACGAAAACACAUUCAUACUUUUCAAACAUUCAACACUAUCUUGUUAGGGCAUGGAAUCAUCGGGUAUCGUCAUACCCUGACUUGCAAGUCAAUCAAAUCACGUCACAUCAUGUCUGCAACCCUUUUCACUUAUUAGCAUAUUCAUGACCACCCUAAUUUUUAAACAUCAGAUGAGAGAGAGUUAUGCAAUAGACUUUUCAUUCAAAUAUUUACCAAAACAUUCUCCUCCCAAUUGUAAAAUCAAUAGGAGGUCACCUCAUAUUUGUAAUUACUUAAAAUCCAAGAAAGAUUGUUAAUUUGACACAACGAGCAUUUAUCAUGUGAAAACACAUUCCCAACAUGUCAUAAACAGUACCACUCCAUGAUCAUUAAACAAGCACUCACCCAUUAAUUUUUCGUUUAGAAAGUCCAUGCCUUUAAACAACCCAUAACAAUAUAGAUCGAAAAUAUCAUGAUAAAAGAGGGGGUUUUGAUCAUUCAUGCUCUCAUUCAAACUUUCAUUGCACCCCAAAAUAUAAAUAUAUUGUUAUAUUCAAAAUUCACGAUAGACAGUUCAAAACAACAUACAAUUUCUUCAAAACAACUUCAUGACAUAUACUUUUCAAACAAUUUCAAACCCUUUCUUUAGAAAUAUGAUUGAGGAUCUUUAAUGUAAUAAAAACAAUAGAAAAAUUAUGCCCAUGAUGUUUAGAGAAGUCCCACAUACCUUAGAUUAUAAGAUUUGAAAAAUGGAACCCAAAUCUUGAUCCGUUUCUUGAAAUCUUGAACUUAAGGAUAGAUUCUUGAUUUCUUGUUCUUGGAGGAAAACCUAGUUUGAUCUUAUUUUUGAGAGUGAAAAGAGGAUCUUGAUGUUGUAAAACUGAUAAUAGUUGAG
rnacentral:lncRNA from 1 species